CAAUAGCGUAUAUUAAAGUUGUUGCAGUUAAAAAGCUCGUAGUUGGAUUUCUGGUAGGAGUGACCGUUCCGAACUUGAUUGUUCGUGUAUUGUGUUUUCUCCAGCCAUCCUUGUGGAGAACUUUUCUUGCAUUAAUUUGUAGGGAUUGGGACCCGCAUCGUUUACUGUGAAAAAAUUAGAGUGUUUAAAGCAGGCAAUCGCUUGAAUACAUUAGCAUGGAAUAAUAAGAUAGGACUUUGGUACUAUUUUGUUGGUUUGCAUACCAAAUUAAUGAUCAACAGGAACAGUUUGAGGAUAUUCGUAUGAACAUGUCAGAGGUGAAAUUCUUGGAUUUUGAUCAGACGAACUACUGCGAAAGCAUUUAUCAAGGAUGUUUUCAUUA
rnacentral:rRNA from 1 species